UAUUACUCGACAAAGACACACGAGGUUUUUGUGGUGCGCUAUAGUGAUAUAGUGAUGUAGUAAUAUAGUGAGUGAUCGAAGCUGGGAAUUUACUGCCUUGCUGUUGGAAAUAUGGCACAAAUAAGCGAGGAGGAUAUGUGGAAAAAACUACAAGAUCUUCACGACAUUGUGUUGGGUAGAAAGGAAAUCGACUUUCAAGAGGCGGAUGCAGGACCAAGCACUAAGGACGAUGGCAAGGACAACGAUGAUGACAAAGAAAAGAAGGGCAAUGAGAACAAAAAACCAAAGAAUAAGAAAUAGAAUCUACACAAAACGUCAGGAAAAUUGUCAAGGAACUAAUAAAACUAAUAUAAACUUCCAGAAAAUCUCAAUGUUCAAGGUCCAGAAAGUGCAGCGGAUGUGCGCUACACUCAUGCGUCGGGCUGAUGAUGCACUAUCGUAUAUCGACAAGCAAAAUAUUCCUCCAUUUGUAUGCCGCCAGCUGAAACAGAACAUCAGCACGCAGGUUGACACCGUCACCGUAGAAAUUAACAAAAAAAAUAAUCUAAAGCUAUUGAUACUAAUAUAAACAGAAACAAUAAUAAUUGGCCUCAACUUAGCCGUUUUGGCGGUAAUAGUCAA